ensembl:lncRNA
GUGUGAUCCCUGGGUCAGGAAGAUGCCCUGGAGGAGGGGAUGGGAACCUACCUCAGUAUUCUUGCCUGGAGAAUCCCAUGGACGAGGAUCCUGGCAGCUAUGGUCCAUGAGGUCACAAAAAAGAGUCAGACACAACUGAGCGACUGAGCACAUAAGUGAAGUCAGGGCUUCCCUGGUGACUCAGCUGGUAAAGACUCCGCCUGCAAUGUGGGAAACCUGGGUUUGAGCCCUGGGUUGGAAAGAUCCCCUGGAGAAGGGAUAGGCUACCCACUCCAGUAUUCUUGGGCUUCCAUGGUGGUCAACUGGAAAAGAAUCCACUGGCCCAUGAGGUCACAAAGAGCUGGACAAAACUGAGUGAGCACACAGGAGGAUCUUACAUAUGAAGAUUAUCUCGGGUCGUCUAAUCACAUAGCUCUUAAAAGCAAAGCACUUUCUCUAGCUGAAGCAAGAGGGAGGAAGCAGAAAGGUAACUCAGAGCAAAGUCAAGCAUGAGAAGGCUUCGGUGCACUGCUGCUGGCUCUGAGAGGUAGGGACCCACCUGCAAGGACCCAAGAGAGGCCUCUCAGAGAAAACUGAGCUAUCAGCCAGCAGCCAGCAAGGAAAUGGGCCUCAGUCCUACAACCCCUCCAAGAAACUGAAUUCAGGCAACAUCCUGAAUGAGCGUAAAAGCGGCUUCUCCCCAGAGCCCCCGGGAGGAACACAGCCCUGCUGCAAAGUUGACUUUAUCUCAGCCAGAGCCACAUCAGACUUCUGACCUCUGGAAACAGAUAAUACACCGGUGUUGUGCUCAACUGUUAAAUCUGUGAUGAUCUGCUACUAUGGCAACAGGAAACAAAUUCGGCCAACCUCACACCAACUCCCCACGUCACCGCAGAUCAGCGUUAUGCUCCCUGCGUGACACUCUUAAUGACAUUGGCUCUCCCAGGACCCACACUCCUGGCGCACGGACGUGCAGCUGUCCGCUUGCAGAGGAAGACGCUGAGGACGGAAACCAGCAAAUGCUGGAGCCAGUUCCUCUCUGAAUCAGACCCUCUGUGACGGAGCCUGUGUGUUCACCAAACUCUCCAGGAGAAGUCCAAGUGAAGCGGCGAGCCUCCUGGCUUGUUUCUGCAGCGCCUGAGAUACACGACACAGGUAAAGAGCUGGACUCGGGCCUGCGGGCCGCUGACCUCCGCAGCCUGGAAGAGGGCUCAGAACCAGCAGCAAGUUUGUCUCCUGUGGCCAGGCGGGGUCCCUGGCCCCCAGUCCCACAAGGGCCUUCCAUCCAAGCGCUCUCAGGACCCUGGCUAUUGAUGGUCUGGGCAGACCCCAACAUCUGCUUCUGUUGUUCGUUGCAGUCGCCGGUUGACCUGCUUCCUCGCAGGGCGUUUGAAUAUUCUCAUCAGAACGGAGAGAUUAGUCAGAGCAGAGCCCUGCUUCAUUAGCCUGGGAGAAGCGUGUUUAGCAGAGACAUCACAGCAAACAGGAGGAUUGUAAAUUAUAUUAUGCCUCAAAGGCCCCUUAGCCCAGGCCACCUGCUUGCCUGCUUCCCGGUCUUCAAACACGCAGGCUGAUGUAUUUCUACCCCCUUCUGAGUCGUGGUGGCUAACAGGAAAGUCUUAAUUCCAUCAAACCCUUGAAAUUCCUAUUUCCCGUCCACGUUAACACCGUAAUGAACAGCACCGGGCCUGCGUGAACACGGAGGGCGGCCACCCCCAGCUGGGUGUCAGGACGCGAGGCAGAGCUGUGUGCUUCAUCACUUGGGAGCUUGGGGAGGUGUAUGGUGUGGGCACCUCCAAUUACAGCCCCUCCAGGAGCAGCAGCGAGACCUGUAUGCAAACGCCCGCUGGCCAGGUGUCCGGGAACCAGACAAC